rnacentral:rRNA from 1 species
AUACGGGGGAUCCGAGCGUUAUCCGGAUUUAUUGGGUUUAAAGGGUGCGCAGGCGGCCAUUUAAGUCAGCGGCUAAAUCGUGGGGCUCAACCCCAUUCUGCCGUUGAUACUGGGUGGCUUGAUUGCGGUCGAGGUUGGCGGAAUUCGUUGUGUAGCGGUGAAAUGCAUAGAUAUGACGAAGAACACCGAUUGCGUAGGCAGCUGACCAGACCGCAAAUGACGCUCAUGCACGAAAGUGCGGGGAUCGAACAGGAUUAGAUACCCUGGUAGUCCGCACAGUAAACGAUGAAUACUUGUUUUCGGCGAUAUAAUGUCGGAGGCAAAGCGAAAGCGAUAAGUAUUCCACCUGGGGAGUACGCCGGCAACGGUGAAACUCAAAUGAAUUGGCGGGG